rnacentral:lncRNA from 1 species
UACUGGCUAGUGUGCUGAGCAGAGGGGGUUUCCUAUGGGAGGAGGUGGCAGGGCCGGUGAUGCCUUCCAACUUUGGCAGCAGCAGCGGAUCUGCGCACAGCCUACUGAACCAUUGCAUAUUGUUUUUACAGCGCAUGUCGUCGGUGCACUGCCCCGUGUCAAGGGAAAUACGGUGGUCAUCGUGGGAGUGACUGCUGACCUUUCAAAUAGCCUCGACGCAUCGCCCCGUAUCAUAUCAGGGCACGGCUGUGAUCAUCGUGGUCGUGUUUUUGUUGUGCCCCGCUGUGAGCGCCACCUGGAUAGCUGUUCAGCUCGGAGCAUCUCCGGGUGUACUGAACCACACUUUGGCAGCAGCAGCGGAUCUGCGCACAGCCUACUGAACCAUUGCAUAUUGUUUUUACAGCGCAUGUCGUCGGUGCACUGCCCCGUGUCAAGGGAAAUACGGUGGUCAUCGUGGGAGUGACUGCUGACCUUUCAAAUAGCCUCGACGCAUCGCCCCGUAUCAUAUCAGGGCACGGCUGUGAUCAUCGUGGUCGUGUUUUUGUUGUGCCCCGCUGUGAGCGCCACCUGGAUAGCUGUUCAGCUCGGAGCAUCUCCGGGUGUACUGAACCACACUUUGGCAGCAGCAGCGGAUCUGCGCACAGCCUACUGAACCAUU